rnacentral:lncRNA from 1 species
GGAGCUGUUGAGUAGAAGAGUGAAUGCGUUACAGAUAGAAAAACCAGAUGGCGUUGCUGUGCCCGCCAUUCUGAAUGAUUGGAAUUAGUGAGUGAAAUUUCUGUCAGCAAUUUUUCGUGAUUCUGGUGUGUUUCUAAGAAUUUUUCAACUCAGGUAUGUGAGACACUGAAUCAGAGUAAUGAAAUACUGCUGUUUGUCUCUUCCAAUCUUGCCAUUUCUCACUGACAAACUUUUACCUCGCUCCAGCCGAACAUCGUACCAAUUGUCAUGACUCUUUUCUUGAGUUGCUCAUGUAUUCAAGUUCAAAAGGAAUGCCUCCGCAACAGCAAGAUUAACAAUACCAUUGUCAGACUCGACUGAUUUCUUACAGAUGCAGUAUUUGAAGUUUCUGCACUUGGCCAACCAUCAACAACCAUGAAUCCAGUCUUCACAGCUUCCCUUCUUUGCCAGCAACCAUCAAUUAACUUCAGUAUCAUAGCAUGGAAAUCAUCAUUUUCUAUAUGCCAUCUCAACCGUUUGUAGCAUUUAUCGCUCUUCUUAGCCUGACAACAUACAUACUGUUAUGCCAGCGUUGUAUGCCAUCGCCUCAUUAUGAACUGUCGAGUUUUCAUUUGCAUUUAUGUUAAAAAAGGACGCCGUCCAGUAGUUAUCAUGCCGCCGUAUAAGAUUAAAAACAUAAUUCCCACAGCCGAGUGAAAGAGGACAACUUGUAAUCUUUGCGGAUCCAAAACAGCUGACGGCGAUGGCAGUCGGUGCAACGUGGAACUUCUCGUCUGUUUUGGUAUUGUUUGAUGUUUGUGUGUGUGUGUGUGGUGUUGUUUGUGUGAGUUAACCCGUUGGCUGCCACCCAUUUUGCUCCCAUUUUUUUUUAGCUGUAGGGACCGCGCGCACUGUUCUGCCCUAUGGGGUAGGGCAGUGCUCCGCCGCAAGGCGGUUAGGCAAUGCACCAGUAGGGACUUCUCCUUGUUCGAUGCGGUGAUGGUUUCCUGAGGGUGUGCAUUCCCUGUCAAGGUUUCCAUCGCCGUGUCAGCCCGGACUUGUCUUCGGACAAGUCCCACCAGAUCGUGGAUCCUUCAGACGACGAUGCGUAGAUUGUAGACAACAACCUACGGGUUGAAUGGCCUGGCAGCCAACGGGUUAACUCAGUGCAUGUUUGUAUUGUAAUGUAUUUUAUUGUAUAUUUAUGUAAUUGAAAAUAGUGGUGGAAUUGUGGGAUGGAGGUGGGACAAUAAAUGAAAUUCCAUUUAUGUUUGUA